AAUAGAUACCCAGGUAGUCCAUGCCGUAAACGUUGGGCACUAGGUGUGGGGCUCAUUCCACGAGUUCCGUGCCGCAGCAAACGCAUUAAGUGCCCCGCCUGGGGAGUACGGCCGCAAGGCUAAAACUCAAAGGAAUUGACGGGGGCCCGCACAAGCGGCGGAGCAUGCGGAUUAAUUCGAUGCAACGCGAAGAACCUUACCAAGGCUUGACAUGCACGAGAAGCCACCAGAGAUGGUGGUCUCUUUGGACACUCGUGCACAGGUGGUGCAUGGUUGUCGUCAGCUCGUGUCGUGAGAUGUUGGGUUAAGUCCCGCAACGAGCGCAACCCUCGUCCCAUGUUGCCAGCGGGUUAUGCCGGGGACUCAUGGGAGACUGCCGGGGUCAACUCGGAGGAAGGUGGGGAUGACGUCAAAUCAUCAUGCCCCUUAUGUCUUGGGCUUCACGCAUGCUACAAUGGCCGGUACAAAGGGCUGCGAUACCGUAAGGUGGAGCGAAUCCCAAAAAGCCGGUCUCAGUUCGGAUUGGGGUC
rnacentral:rRNA from 1 species